AGAAUCAACGCUGGCGGCGUGCCUCAGACAUGCAAGUCGAACGCGAAAGUCCCCUUCGGGGGCAAGUAGAGUGGCGCACGGGUGAGUAACACGUAGGUAAUCUACCUUUGGAUGGGGAAUAACAACCGGAAACGGUUGCUAAUACCGCAUAAUGCAGCGGCACCUAAUGGUGACAGUUGUUAAAGCGGGGGAUCGAAAGACCUCGCGUCUGAAGAGGAGCCUGCGGCGGAUUAGCUAGUUGGUAGGGUAACGGCCUACCAAGGCUACGAUCC
rnacentral:rRNA from 1 species